GUUGCGGUGGCUGAGCGGUAAAGCGCUGGACUUCCGAACCGAGGUCCGGGGUUCGAAUCCUGUUUUCAAUA
rnacentral:tRNA from 1 species